AUGGCGACCGGCGCACGGGUGAGUAACACGUAUCCAACCUGCCGAUAACUCGGGGAUAGCCUUUUGAAAGAAAGAUUAAUACCCGAUGGUAUAAUUAGACCGCAUGGUCUUGUUAUUAAAGAAUUUCGGUUAUCGAUGGGGAUGCGUUCCAUUAGGCAGUUGGUGAGGUAACGGCUCACCAAACCUUCGAUGGAUAGGGGUUCUGAGAGGAAGGUCCCCCACAUUGGAACUGAGACACGGUCCAA
rnacentral:rRNA from 1 species